UACUGUAAACCAACUUAUUUUCGCGAUCGAUUUAUUUUCGCGACUUUCGCGAGUAGGAAAAUAACGCGAAUAUUAAUUGUCGCGAAUAUGUAUAACUUGGAUCUUUCCUUAUAACCCUUUUCAAGUAAAUAAGAAAAUCGCGAAAAUAAAAAGCCGCGAAGUGGUCAAGAAAGGGUAAAACGCGAAAUAAAGUAUCCGCGAAAUUAAGUUGGUUUACA
rnacentral:lncRNA from 1 species